GACGAACGCUGGCGGCGUGCUUAACACAUGCAAGUCGAACGGAAAGGCCCUGCUUUUGUGGGGUGCUCGAGUGGCGAACGGGUGAGUAACACGUGAGUAACCUGCCCUUGACUUUGGGAUAACUUCAGGAAACUGGGGCUAAUACCGGAUAGGAGCUCCUGCUGCAUGGUGGGGGUUGGAAAGUUUCGGCGGUUGGGGAUGGACUCGCGGCUUAUCAGCUUGUUGGUGGGGUAGUGGCUUACCAAGGCUUUGACGGGUAGCCGGCCUGAGAGGGUGACCGGCCACAUUGGGACUGAGAUACGGCCCAGACUCCUACGGGAGGCAGCAGUGGGGAAUAUUGCACAAUGGGCGGAAGCCUGAUGCAGCAACGCCGCGUGCGGGAUGACGGCCUUCGGGUUGUAAACCGCUUUCGCCUGUGACGAAGCGUAAGUGACGGUAAUGGGUAAAGAAGCACCGGCUAACUACGUG
rnacentral:rRNA from 1 species